rnacentral:tRNA from 2 species
UCCCCUUCGUCUAGAGGCCUAGGACACCGCCCUUUCACGGCGGUAACAGGGGUUCGAAUCCCCUAGGGGACGCCA